AUUGAACGCUGGCGGCAGGCCUAACACAUGCAAGUCGAACGCGUGGCGGACGGGUGAGUAAUGUCUGGGAAACUGCCUGAUGGAGGGGGAUAAAUACUGGAACCGGUAGCUAAUACCGCAUACCAUCAGAGGUGCCCAGAUGGGAUUAGCUAGUAGGUGGGGUAACGGCGCACCAAGGCGACGAUCCCUAGCUGGUCUGAGAGGAUGCCCCGCCACACUGUACCUGAGACACGGGCCAGACUCCUACGGGAGGCAGCAGUGGGGAAUAUUGCGCAAUGGGCGCAAGCCUGAUGCAGCCAUGCCGCGUGUAUGAUGAAGGCCUUCGGGUUGUAAAGUACUUUCAGCGGGGAGGCGUUACCCGCAGAGGAAGCACCGGCUAACUCCGUGCCAGCAGCCGCGGUAAUAC
rnacentral:rRNA from 1 species